AUGUGCUUGCGGGAUAGGGAUCUCUGGCGUAUGCGGUGCCCACUGAUAUGCAACUGGGCUGUUGAGUUUCAUUUGCCACAUCGCGUGUGUCGUCAGUUUGGUCUGUUCCAGCCUCACCCGCCGGAAUGGGUGGAUACGGACAAAGCACUUCAUAGGUUGGACAGGAGAAGGCAGCGGAAGAUAAAGGACUGGGACAAGCAUCAUGCUUCGUACGUUACCCGCUUCCAGCUUUGUGUGGAGGAAGCUCGUAGCAGUGCAUGCGCCAAGCUUUGUGAGCAUAGUCCACUUGCUUUUGAUAACUACAUACGAUGGCUUCUUGAAAAUACUCGAGUUGAGAUAUGCCCGCCGGCAUAUAAUGAGGAUAUUCUUGAAGAACCCGUAAAAUUUGAGAAUCUAUCAAAGGGGAAGUACAACAGAGAUGUCAGGGUAGGGCAUGGAGUCCCUGCUGUUCCGGUGAUUAACUAUGUGCGCACCGAGAUCAAGAAAGCAGCUGAUGAGAGCCAGUCUAUUCUGGAGGAAACACCGGUUGGAAAAGGCAAUGAUGAUGGUUCACUACGAGCAUUCCUCAAGGCUAGGAAGCUAAGGCGGUUAUCGAAUCUUCUCGGUUGUCGUGAUCCCGAAAUUGAUGAACCAUCUGCCUCUAGGUCUGGUACACCAUCAGACCCCUCAUCUCACCAUCAGAGGGACGAUGUGAGUUCCUCAUAUGCUUAUCAGGAUGAUGAGGGU
rnacentral:rRNA from 1 species